UACGUAGGCAGCGAGCGUUGUUCGGAGUUACUGGGCGUAAAGGGUGUGUAGGCGGUUCUUUAAGUUUGGUGUGAAAUCUCCCGGCUCAACCGGGAGGGUGCGCCGAAUACUGAGGGACUAGAGUAUGGGAUGGGAAAGUGGAAUUCCUGGUGUAGCGGUGAAAUGCGUAGAUAUCAGGAGGAACACCUGUGGUGUAGACGGCUUUCUGGACCAUAACUGACGCUGAGACACGAAAGCGUGGGGAGCGAACAGG
rnacentral:rRNA from 1 species